rnacentral:tRNA from 1 species
UAAACAAAACCUAAUUUAUAGGAUUACAGUGAUAGUGUAAUUGAGUGUUUUCACUUGUUUAA